rnacentral:rRNA from 1 species
GUCCCUUAUUCUAGACCAAGAACAC